GUGCCUUCGGAGGAGUCGGAUUAAAAGGGAACCGGGUCAGAAUCCCGGACAGUCCCGCUGCGGUAUUUCUCUGCCCGGCGUUAUGUGCGCCGGCGCGAGGAGCAGGAUUUUUUCAAGCCACUGUGGUAGUGGAGGCGUCGGCCAUGGGCCGCGUCCCUCUCCGUGGGAAGGCAUCCUCGCUCUGAGAUAAGUCCGAAGACCUGCCGGAUGCAU
rnacentral:ncRNA from 1 species